CCUAGGGAGUGGACGAGACCUGCCUAGGUCACAGCAUCCAAUAAAUAAGACUCUGAAAUGGAAUCAGGGCACUGUGGGGCUCAGCUGCAGCAGGGCUGUUCACACAGCUCCGCAGCCCCUGAAUAGAGUGUAUAGUCUGAGGGCUGUGCUCCCUUCAGAUCACAUGCCACCCACCUCCCCUCCUUUUCCCCUUUGGUAGGAUUCUUCCUUCUGAGUGAGCAGCUGCUGUUGGGCUAAAUGAGACCUGGUCUUCCGUCCGUGCUCGCUAUGGAGUAAAUGCCUCCUGGAGAAAGCAGAGGUGGGCAACAAACCUGAAAGCAGAGUUGUCAGGUGUGAGAGAAACGAGCAGAACCAGCCUCAUGACCAAGGUCACCCAACAACAUCACAAGACGAUGACAUCACCAUCAGCUCUGGCCCAGAGCUCAAAUAACGGAGGGAAAGGNCAGGUCAUCCUCACCGCAGGGUGACAGAGCUGGUGCCAGGCCUCUGCCAACUAUCAGGGCCCAGGAGUGUUGCUGAAAGCUACCCAGGAGCAGCUCAUCCCUGCCUCUGCUCAGCCAGCACUCUCACAAGCUCAGAACAGUAGAGUCUCACCAACAGGGGUCCCCACCCCCCACCUUUUCCUAGAAGCAAGGUUAGCAACUGCCAGAGUCAAAAUAGAUGUGGAGAGAAUUGUGUGGCAAGACUCCGGUUUAGUUCAAGCACACUGGAUUGCACGAUGUCCUUGGAGGGCAGAGCUGUUGGAACUGCCAUUGCAGGAGGAAUCAAAGCAGCCAGCCUUGCUCUUCGGGCUGAUGUUUCUGCCAUGCGGCAUGUCAAGCAAUCAUGUCUUUGGAGCCCAGAUGCCCUGCUUUGUAGGGUCUCCUCCCGCCAGAAUGUAAACUUCCGAAGCGUGGAGAAUGUCUCCAUCUGAUGCGUCCUUCAGACCGCAGGCGCCUCAUGGAUACAUGUGGAACGAUAAAUGAUGAACCCGUUUCCCCAUCUGCAGGACAAACAGCUCCGGGUCCAACAGCCAGGCUCUUUCCUGGUCUGACAAUGAAAUGAAGAAUCUGAGGAUGUGAGUGCUUCCGUGGAGUCCCGGGGACCUCUCUAUGCUGCCUGGGCAGAGGUCAAGUUCAGUAGCUCCUCCUGCCUUAGCCUCCAAGCACACAUAGGCACAUGCCACCAUGCCUGGCUUGGGCCUCCGCUUUAACUUCUUCCUUUCUCAUAUAACCCUCUCCCUGCUCCUACAACCCCGCUGACAACGUUGAAUUCAGUUCAUUCGAUGAGCUGAUAGGUACUGAGCACCUACCUAUUGAGCACUGGGAACCCAGGGUCUGCUCCCUAAGGAGCUUGGCACGUUAGCAGGAGCUUGGCUGAGAAACACUAGGACUUAGUUGCUUAACUGGCUAGCAUCACGUAGCAAAUACACAGCUGAGCUGGGAAGCUCCUCGGCUCUCUACACUGCAGGUGAGAUGCUACCCCAAAGACAAGAAGCGGUGGAGCAGAGUGUGCUCUAGUGCCAGGUGGCUCCCUUCAGAGCUUACAAGCCCACCAGUGUCCCACGACCUCAGCCUUCUGGCAGAGAGGGAACGUGCGGGAUCUCGGCUCUUCUGGUUGUGUUUCUCAUUACUCCACAGCCUUCAGGUCCCGUUUUCUUUAGAUAAACCCGAGACUGCUCUGCUUGAGCAACGGUCAAGUUCAACUCAAGAAGUAAUCUAAGUUGGAGAUACAAUCAAAUAACCUUGGCAGGGGGGAAAAACCCAACAACAAAAAAAAAAGGAAAAACAAAGUAACAAAACAAAAACCCACUUCAAAAAAAAAGUCUCCGGAAGAAACUGAGCAUGAAGAAUUGAAACAAUGUAAGAGAACAGGACAUUUCUUAAAAAGAUGUUUUAUUUCUCUUC